AAGGAAUUUUGCGCAAUGGGCGAAAGCCUGACGCAGCAACGCCGCGUGGGGGAUGAAGGCCUUCGGGUUGUAAACCCCUUUUCUCGAGGAAGAAAAAUGACGGUACUCGAGGAAUAAGUCUUGGCUAACUAC
rnacentral:rRNA from 1 species